AGAGUUUGAUCCUGGCUCAGGAUGAACGCUAGCUACAGGCUUAACACAUGCAAGUCGAGGGGAAACGACAUCGAAAGCUUGCUUUUGAUGGGCGUCGACCGGCGCACGGGUGAGUAACGCGUAUCCAACCUGCCCAUCACUUGGGGAUAACCUUGCGAAAGUAAGACUAAUACCCAAUGACGUCUCUAGAAGACAUCUGAAAGAGAUUAAAGAUUUAUCGGUGAUGGAUGGGGAUGCGUCUGAUUAGCUUGUUGGCGGGGUAACGGCCACCAAGGCGACAAUCAGUAAAGGGUUCUGAGAGGAAGGUCCCCCACAUUGGAACUGAGACACGGUCCAAACUCCUACGGGAGGCA
rnacentral:rRNA from 1 species